UGGGUUCCGCCCGGCUCCCCGAGCCCCACGGGCACCCUGGGCCCACCCUCCGCCUGCUCACCGCUGAUGAAGAGCAGCGUGCUUGUAGUCCGGCCCCGCAGCGACUAGUCCGCCCUGACACAGAAUCCACAACGCCACCUUCGUGGCCACCACCCAGACGCCACCCGCCAGCACCAUGCACGCCCCGGCCAAUGAGAUCGUGGCUGGGGACAACGGGCCGCAUCCGCCCCGCGCGGCCGCCGCCCCGAACCCCGAGCCGGACUGUGGGCCAGAGGGUCCUCGUCGCAGCAGGGACGGGUUAGCGGGAAGCCAGGUGUGACCCACCAUGCUGGGCCCCAGCAGCUCUCUUCACAGGAUGACAGCUCACGGUGAAACAGCGGGUCCCGGGAGCUUCACCGUAACAGGGCAGAUCAAAGCCUCCUCGAAGCCUCUCUUCCCUUGACUUCGUGGGCACUCCAGAAGGACUCCCAGCCCCCACAUCUCUGGCUGUGCCCUUGAAGGCCCCUUGCAGCCUGGGGCCCUGGCCCUCCGCCCCUCUACGGAGGCUCCACCCUGGUCCUGCUCAGCCAAACUCCAUCUCCAGCACAGGUGUCUUUCGGCCCCAGGUUCCAGACCUCCCCUGCUCCCGACUGUCCCCAGGGGCCCUGACACCCAACCCCAGGAUGGCUCCACAUCCCCCACCCCGAGUUUGUUGGGCCAGAGCCCUGGGCACUACCUAUCCUCUUCCUCCCAUCACCCCACAAAGCCACGGUCCCCCAAGCGCUGUUCCUCCUGCCCCCAAAUCCACCUGGCCUGUUCCCUCCUUCUCACCUUGGGACCUGGUUCUCUCGGGCCCCACCCUGCCAGCCUGUUCUGGUCUCUAGUCCCCCAGUCCCGGCCCCACCCCAUGUCCCCAGAGGGACUCAGAGCUCACUGUGUCCCCCGCACCAUGGAGCCCUGCUUCAUCCCCGGACGGCCCCUGGAUAUUCCACGGCUCCAGCUUCGCCCCUCUGCCUGGAGAGCACUUUCCCUUGGCGCUCAAGAAGUUCCUGCACGCCUUCCCCAGAGAGGCCACCCCUGUGUCCGUCUCCUGACAGCCUCUGGCUGCUGCCUGGCCCGUAACAACUGCUGGCCUGUGACUGCACCCCCGCCCUGUCCUGGCUGACUGUCCCCCUUCCUGGGUGCCCCGUCACACCCACCUUGGAGCUGACCUAUGGCUAUGUCUUCUUUCGUCCUUUUCAGUUUUGAGAGAGGGCCUCAUUAAGUCACUAAGCUGCCCAGGCUGGGCUCAAACUUUCAUCCUCCUGCCUCAGCCUCCCGGCUACUUGCUUAUGUCUUGGCCCAGUGAAUCUUGGAAUACCCAGAUGUUAGCAAAUUUUUUAUUGACCGAGUGAAGAAAUAUGUGAAGGGGGGUGGGCUUGGAGGGAGGGCUGGAGGCAGAGUCAAGCCUUCCUUUCUGUGGCUCCUGAGGAGACUCCAGGCACGGCGCUCAGCUCUCCGGGGCCGCCUCCGUCUGCUCACAAGCUUUCGUAGCCGGGCCGCUGGGCACCGCAGUGAGCGCGCAGACUCAGGGCACCUGGGGUGGCCCAGAGUGUAAGUGCUUCCCCUCCCGCCUGUGUCUCCCUCCCUGGGGCCUCCCAGCUCCAGGAGGCCGCGUGGUCACCUGCACAGAGGAACAGGAAGGCGGAGACCCAGCCCAGGUAGAAGGACCAGCAGAAGAAGGUCUGGACCUGGGAGUGCACAGCCUGGCCCCACCGUUCACUGGUAUACACCACCAUGGCCACCAGCAUGGAGAGGGCUGGGGACAAGGACCAGAGAGACAGGUGAGCCCCCGGGGGCACCCCGCUCCAGCACGGAGCCCAGCCCAGAGGCCUCACCUGCAGCGAACGUGGUGACCGUGGAGACCAGAGGGCCCCGGCCGGGGGCGGACAGUGAAGGGAUGCAGGACAGCACCAGGAAGCCCACGGCCACCAGGCCCCACAGGGCGGCCAGGAUGCAGAAGCUCUGCGUCACGUGGAUGUAGCCUGCUCAUUGGAGAUGAAGACUUCCGAGUGUGUCCCCCAGCCCGGCCAUCGCCCCUCGGGACAGCCCGGCCCUUACCUUUGACAGGAUCGUCCUGGCCCCCUUUUGGCCAGAGGCCCGAGUGAGCUGAGCUCACCCCCAUGGCCACUAUCCAGAAGUCGGUGCUGAUGGCCACCAGGGAGGACGCCAGGCCCAGGGAGCCAGCAAGCAGGGCCAAGGACUGGCAGGGCUCCAUGGGCCAGCACUGGGUUUGCGGCUUCUGGGGGAUGAAGAGGCUGCUGGGUGUCACAGGGAGGGAGCAGGCUGUGCGGGCUCCUGGGUCCCCUGAGCUGGCGAAGCAGAAGGAGCGGCAGCGAUGGUGCCCGGGGUGCUUCGCAACAGCACACAGGCUUCACACAGUUCCCGGCGGGCAGGCGGGCAGGCGGGUGGGCGCGCUUCACACAGCCUGCCUUCCUGUCCUCCCCGAAGGCUUCCCUCCGCAGGGGCAGGGUGUCAGGUCGUCUGUGGUUUGGGUGUGAUGUAGAACUCACCUCUUUCAGGGGUGUGACACCUCCCACCCUGGGCACCCCCCACACCAGGGCUUCCUGGACGGACAAGAGCGAGAGCCCGGGGGCCACAGGCGGGAGGUGGCCAAUCAGCUCCCCAGUCCCUGGUCGGGAUGCAGAAGGGCCUGUGGAGAGGAAGGAGCUGCCUGCAGCCUCAUCUGAUAAUGAGUUGAGAGAUAACCAACUCUGCUUAGGGUGGGUCCUCCAGCACGGGGUGGGGGCCUUGUCGUGAGGAUCGGCUGCCCAGGGAGUGGGGACAAAAAUGCUAGGGGAGGGUCCUCUGGUCUCCAAGCACCUGUCUCUUCCAGCAGCGGGCCCUGGGUGACGCCACAGCUGCAGCAGGUAUAAGGUGAAUGUGCCCCAGUCCAGGCAGGGGGCUCAGGAAAACUCGGCCUCUGUGAAGUGGGCAAGGCCCUGGAUCAUGGUGACACACUGGGCCAGCUGCUCCAGGACAGCCUGCUGAUGGGGAGGACCAGCGAGGCCCAGGAGGCAGCGUCCUCUCCUUAAUCUGGGAGGCUUAACUUUCAGGCCCAUUCUGUGCUUGGGCCCUUGCCAGUGAGGAAGGUGCCACUGUUGAGCCCGUGCUCAGGGGCCGGAAGUCACCCAGGGACGGCCGGAAGUCUCACCUCGGGUAGCACAGUGAAAACCACGGGCAGGGCUGUGUGAGGAGCAGCAGGAAGUCAGGGCCUUGGGUGUGUGGUGAGCACAGAGCUCGUCUUGUGACCUGGACUCCAUUCUCACCCCAGCCUCAGCCUUCUCCGCUCGUGAAUACAGCCCUUCAGCCUGGCCCCAGGCAGAACCCCAUGCUGACCCCAAACCCGGCCUCACCUGCACACUCGGCCUUGUCCCUGAGCCGCCCAGGGCCGCUCCAUCUUUGACCCCAAUCCCACUCCAGGACCAACCCCAUCUUCACCCCCAAACUGCACCCUGCCUUCAUCCCUCCAGCCCCAGCCCCGGACCGGUUGGCUCUUCACUCUGCAGCCCCACUGCUCCUCCUUAGCCGCCCACCUUCCUCUUCAUCUGGCCUCCAGGUCAAGCUGGUGACUUUGUUUCUUGCCU